UACGAACCGUGCAAACGUUAUUCGGAAUUAUUGGGCUUAAAGGGCGCGUAGGCGGCGCUGUAAGUCAGGUGUGAAAUCCCACGGCUCAACCGUGGAACUGCGCUUGAUACUGCAGUGCUUGAGUGAGGCAGAGGUAAGCGGAACUGAUGGUGGAGCGGUGAAAUGCGUUGAUAUCAUCAGGAACACCAGUGGCGAAAGCGGCUUACUGGGUCUCUACUGACGCUGAGGCACGAAAGCUAGGGUAGCAAACGGG
rnacentral:misc_RNA from 1 species